rnacentral:rRNA from 1 species
AUUGAACGCUGGCGGCAUGCCUAACACAUGCAAGUCGAACGGUAACAGGCCCUUCGGGCGCUGACGAGUGGCGGACGGGUGAGUAAUGCUUAGGAAUCUGCCUAGUAGUGGGGGAUAACCCGGGGAAACUCGGGCUAAUACCGCAUACGUCCUACGGGAGAAAGCGGGGGACCUUCGGGCCUCGCGCUAUUAGAUGAGCCUAAGUCCGAUUAGCUAGUUGGUAGGGUAACGGCCUACCAAGGCGACGAUCGGUAGCUGGUCUGAGAGGACGACCAGCCACACUGGGACUGAGACACGGCCCAGACUCCUACGGGAGGCAGCAGUGGGGAAUAUUGGCAAUGGGCGCAAGCCUGAUCCAGCGAUGCCGCGUGUGUGAAGAAGGGCCUGCGGGUUGUAAAAGCACUUUCAGUAGGGAAGAAAAGCCGAGUGCUAAUAUCACUCGGUCUUGACGUUACUUACA